ensembl:lncRNA
AUGACGUUGUUGCACAGACAUCGAUGGCGACAACAUGUGAUUGUGAUUUUCGCGAUGCACCGUCCUCAACAUACUAAGCCCUAUGGAAGGGGAGAUUUGGAGGUACCUGGUCAGGUCUUGGUCAGCCUUCAAAUCCCAGAUGUGGAGACUGCAGGGAUACCUCACAGAGAAGACACUAAAGAGUCAUCUCUCAUUCAUCGAGUGGACUCAUUGGUUUGCGAAUUACCACAAAGAUGCUCCCAUAGGCAGAUUGCUGCAUGGCAUGCACCGCUUAUUCAAAUUGAAGAGGUUGAAGGAGUCUUCCUUGUGGUCACUUGCCAUAACAAUGUCAUGUGUUUUAUGAAAACACCAUCAGUAACAUUUAAAUUGAGUUGAUGUGGACGGCUCUUUUUUUUGUCCGAUUUCUUCAGUGUUCAGUGCCUGUUUGUGAGAUAUGCAUUGUUUGAAAGAUAAGCCUUUGAUUUUGUUUAAUUUUAAUAUGCCUUUCAUCAACAGUGGUUUGGGGUUUUAUAACAACAAUUAAAGUGCUUAACUACUGGUGAACGAUGUUGCAGAACAUAUAUGGUUUGUGUUGAUUGAAUGGAAAAGGGAAUAACCAGUUACAACUUAUAUGGUAAGAGCCUGGUAAUACCAUGGAAACAAACGAGGCUUCCUUUUACAGUACAGUUUCAGCUUACUUACUGGGUAAAUUGACGUGUUUUACUUGGUAACGUCGCAGAACGUACAUGGUACAAGUUUGUGUUGACUGCAUGGAAAAGGGAAUAAUGUAUUAAAAAUUAUCUGGUAAGAACCUGGUAAUACCAUGGAAACAAACGAGGCUUCCUUUUACAGUACAGUUUCAGCUUAAUUACUGGGUAAAUUGACGUGUUUUACUUGGUAACGUCGCAGAACGUACAUGGUACAAGUUUGUGUUGACUGCAUGGAAAAGGGAAUAAUGUGUUACAAAUUAUAUGGUAAGAACCUGGUAAUACCAUGGAAAUAAACGAGGCUUCCUUUUACAGUACAGUUUCAGCUUAAUUACUGGGUAAUUUGUCGUGUUUUACUUGGUAACGUCGCAGAACGUACAUGGUACAAGUUUGUGUUGAUUGCAUGGAAAAGAGAAUAAUGUAUUACAAAUUAUAUGGUAAGAACCUGGUAAUACCAUGGAAACAAACGAGGCUUCCUUUUACAGUACAGUUUCAGCUUAAUUACUGGGUAAAUUGUCGUGUUUUACUUGGUAACGUCGCAGAACGUACAUGGUACAAGUUUGUGUUGACUGCAUGGAAAAGGGAAUAAUGUCUUACAAAUUAUAUGGUAAGAACCUGGUAAUACCAUGGAAACAAACGAGGCUUCCUUUUACAGUACAGUUUCAGCUUAAUUACUGGGUAAAUUGUCGUUUUUUACUUGGUAACGUCGCAGAACGUACAUGGUACAAGUUUGUGUUGACUGCAUGGAUAAUGGAAUGUAUCUGUUAUAAAUUAUAUGGUAAGAACCUGGUAAUACCAUGGAAACAAACGGCUUCGUACCCAGUAUUUAAGAAGAUGUACCAUGACACUAGAGGAAAACAGAUUCCUGCAGAGGUUGUUACCAGGUAAGUAAUUCCAUAGUGGUAAAUCGAAUAAACCCUUUCUAGAUGGGUGUAGC